AACGAACGCUGGCGGCAUGCCUAACACAUGCAAGUCGAACGAGACCUUCGGGUCUAGUGGCGCACGGGUGCGUAACGCGUGGGAACCUGCCCUUAGGUUCGGAAUAACUCCCCGAAAGGGGUGCUAAUACCGGAUAAUGUCUUCGGACCAAAGAUUUAUCGCCUUUGGAUGGGCCCGCGUUGGAUUAGCUAGUUGGUAGGGUAAAAGCCUACCAAGGCGACGAUCCAUAGCUGGUAUGAGAGGAUGAUCAGCCACACUUGGACUGAGACACGGCCCAGACUCCUACGCGAGGCAGCAGUGGGUAAUAUAGGACAAUGGGCGAAAGCCUGAUCCAGCAAGGCCGCGUGAGUGAUGAAGGCCUGAGGGUUGUAAAGCUCUUGUACCCAGGAUGAUAAUGACAGUACCGGGAGAAUAAGCUCCGGCUAACUCCGUG
rnacentral:rRNA from 1 species